AGUCGCGUGCGCAGUUGCCGUAGCAAUACGGUGAUGGGCGCACGGCGCACGGGUGCGUAACACGUGGGCAAUCUGCCCUCUGAUGGGGAAUAACCCCGCGAAAGCGGGGCUAAUUCCGCAUAACAUUCCUUGGACUUCGGUUUGAGGAUUCAAAGCAGCAAUGCGUCAGAGGAGGAGCCCGCGCCCGAUUAGCUAGUUGGUGAGGUAAUGGCUCACCAAGGCAAUGAUCGGUAGCUGGUCUGAGAGGAUGAUCAGCCACACUGGAACUGAGACACGGUCCAGACUCCUACGGGAGGCAGCAGUGGGGAAUCUUGCACAAUGGGCGAAAGCCUGAUGCAGCGACGCCGCGUGGGGGAUGAAGCUUCUCGGAGUGUAAACCCCUUUCGACUGGGACGAAUGCCCGCAUGGGAGUGACGGUACCAGUAUAAGAAGCCCCGGCUAACUACGUGCCAGCAGCCGCGGUAAGACGUAGGGGGCCAGCGUUGUUCGGAAUUACUGGGUGUAAAGGGUUCGUAGGCGGUGCGGCAAGUCGGGAGUGAAAUCUCUGGGCUCAACCCAGAGGCUGCUUCCGAAACUGCUGUGCUUGAGUGUGAGAGAGGCUCGUGGAAUUGCAGGUGUAGCGGUGAAAUGCGUAGAUAUCUGCAGGAACACCCGUGGCGAAAGCGGCGAGCUGGAUCACAACUGACGCUGA
rnacentral:rRNA from 1 species